rnacentral:rRNA from 1 species
UACGUAGGGAGCAAGCGUUGUCCGGAAUUACUGGGCGUAAAGGGCGCGUAGGCGGGAUCUUAAGUUAGAUGUGAAAACUCUGGGCUCAACCCGGAGACUGCAUUUAAAACUGGGAUUCUUGAGGGCAGGAGAGGAAAGUGGAAUUCCUAGUGUAGCGGUGAAAUGCGUAGAUAUUAGGAGGAACCCCAGUGGCGAAGGCGACUUUCUGGACUGUACCUGACGCUGAGGCGCGAAAGCGUGGGGAGCAAACGGG